UUGCCCUGUGCCUUGCUCGAUCGAAUCUCCUCCAUGAUUUGGUCUUGAGCUGGAUAAUUGGCGUUCAUUCUGUGAUCCUCAAUUAAUGGGCUAAAUCAAUCUUAGACUUCUUUUGAGUACGAAUUCACCGGUAACACUUUUGUUACAAAUGGUGAACCCCGUAAUUAGAAUGUCAAACAAAG
rnacentral:snoRNA from 1 species